GGUAUCCAGUGGUUUAGUUAUCAACAUUCUUCAAAAUAUCUUAUUUUGUGAUUCACAGAAGAAACAAAGUCAAACAGGUUUGGAACGACAUAAGGGGGACUACUAAAUGAUGUUUAAGGUUCUACUUAUUAAAGCAAUGUACUCUUGAUGAAAAUGUCCCUGCAAUCAAAAUUCAGGAAAUUUUGUUAGCUAGGACAAUAGCAAAAAUUGUAUACUAUAUCAUAUAUUGACUUUUAUAUUGGUUUGUCGGUUUAUUGUAAAUAGGUAGUAUUUAUUAGUGUGCAUUUAGGCAUUCUUCUUGUUCUUGUCUCAGAUCAAUGUCGUGAUCGGAUUUGGUUGGAGCUGUGUGUUCAGCGUUGUGUCUGUGAUUGUCUCUGGCAGACAGAAUUGGCUGCGAGGUGUGGGACAAUCCAUCUGCUCAUCUGCAUGAAGUGCCUCCAGUACUGACUUGCAAAUUGAAGAAAGCACACAAAACACACACUUUUCCUCUGAGGAGGUUCCAAACAGGUUGUUUAGACUUUUUAUCAGAUGCGUUUUUGCUUUUUCUAAAUGAAGUCUAAUGUGGAAAUGGAAUUUCACAAAAAUUAUGCAAAAAUAUGAUAAAACAUCAUCGCUGGGCCACAAGUUACCCUAAGCAGAUAUUUAAAUAAAUCUUAACCUCUUAACCCGCCCGCGUGCCGGAAGGGCGCGUCUAGGCGCGGCUGUGAAUUUUAUAACCGUUGUUUUAGAAAAAUAUUCAAUUAACUAUCAUAAACUAUAUAUCAUUUGAAAGCUAAAACACUCAAUAUCGAUGUUCUGAGCUUGUUUUUUAAAUCAAUACACCAGAGAGGAAAGGGUUAACAUAAAUGCUGAAGGACCGGUCAUUUAAACAUGUACAAAGUGCACGGCAGUACUUACGUUUCAUCGCCUAUAGUUCUGGUCUGCUCGGACUAUUCCAAGAAACACCAGCACACAUUUCAAGCAAAGAACGUCGACUUUAGAAGAGUUUUUGUGGUGUUUGAUCGUGUUUUGGAGGCCGUGAUGAGAAGCAGCGGCGAAGAGCAGCAGAAAGACCCGGAGAGAUGCAUGCAGCCAGGGAUAGCAUUAGCACGUGAGUUUCAACGCUGUUCUCUUGAAUGUUUAUAUAUGUUUAUCAUGUGUUUGCAGCUUUUGAUUCAUGUU
ensembl:lncRNA